UGUCCACUCUUUUGAGAGGAGACAGUUAUGAAACGUGAGUAGAAGGGUCGAGUGUAAAAACCUUGACGUGAAGCAAUUGGAGGGCAAGUUUUGGUGCCAGCAGCCGCGGUAAUUCCAACUCCAAGAGUGUCUAUGGUGGAUGCUGCAGUUAAAGGGUCCGUAGUCGUAGAUGCAAUUAAAAGGUGGUGUUAAAAGCCAUUGAGUUUGUUGAGAGUAGCGGAACGGAUAGGGAGCAUGGUAUAGGUGGGCAAAGAAUGAAAUCUCAAGACCCCACCUGGACCAACGGAGGCGAAAGCGAUGCUCUUAGACGUAUCUGGGGAUCAAGGACGAAGGCUAGAGUAUCGAAAGUGAUUAGACACCGCUGUAGUUCUAGCAGUAAACUAUGCCGACAAUGCUGGGUGUUGCGAGAGCGA
rnacentral:rRNA from 1 species